AUUGAACGCUGGCGGCGUGCCUAAUACAUGCAAGUCGAACGCAGUGGGGACGGGUGAGUAACCCGUGGGUCACCUCCCAUCAGAGGGGAUAACACUUGGAAACAGGUGCUAAACCGAUACUGAUGGAUGGACCCGCGGUGCAGUAGCUAGUUGGAGAGGUAACGGCGCCCCAAGGACACGAGUCAUAGCCGACCUGAGAGGGUGAUCGGCCAAACUGUGACUGAGACACGGCCCAGACUCCGACGGGAGGCAGCAGUAGGGAAUCUUCGGCAAUGGACGAAAGUCUGACCUAGCAACGCCGCGUGAGUGAAGAAGGUUUUCGGAGCGUAAAACUCUGUUGUUAGAGAAUCGGUAUCUAACCAGAAAGCCACGGCUAACUACGUGCCAGCAGCCGCGGUAAUAC
rnacentral:rRNA from 1 species